CCCUUAUGAAAAGAGAAACAUUGCUGCAACCUUGCGGUAAGGUUGCAGCAACCUUGCGGCAAUCUUUUUAGUUCGCCAGAAGACCUGAAAGUUGUUCACCAGUGUUCGCCGCUAGCAGCGACCUUUCGGCAAACAUAUGUAAAAGUUUGCCGCAAGGUUGCCGCAAACUCUUAACUUUCUUAAAUUUGAAAGAACUUUGUAAACAAACUUUAAAGGAGUCCUAAAGUUUGCUGGAACUUCGCCGCAAACUUUAUAGCAUACUGAGCAUGCUCCCUGCACUAAAAUCAGACUUCCUGCUUCUUUGAAUUUGAAAUAGGAGGGAGUUUUUAAUGUUGGUGUUUUCAUGUUAAAAGUAAAUGGAUGUUAUAUAUGAUAGAUGUCUGAGUUAUUUAUGAUUCAAUUAGUUCCUGGAACAGGCCAUGCAUCAUUGAUCAUCUCUUUCUAAGUUAAUUUAGACAGUUUCUGCAGGUUAAUUUGCUAUUAUUGGUACAAAAAUUAUGUCAAAGAACCCCCAUUUUGAAAUAACGAUUGUGUUACACUCUUAUUGCCCUUAGAGAAAUAUCAUUACAGUUG
rnacentral:lncRNA from 1 species